rnacentral:pre_miRNA from 1 species
GGCCCAAAUUUGAAGUAGAUAGAUAAGAAGGAUCACAUGACCCUACUAAACAACUCUACUUCGAGUUUGUGCCC